rnacentral:rRNA from 1 species
AUGAACGCUGGCGGCGUGCCUAAUACAUGCAAGUCGAGCGAACAGAUGAGGAGCUUGCUCCUCUGACGUUAGCGGCGGACGGGUGAGUAACCCGUGGAUAACCUACCUAUAAGACUGGGAUAACUUCGGGAAACCGGAGCUAAUACCGGAUAAUAUAUUGAACCGCAUGGUUCAAUAGUUAAAGACGGUUUUGCUGUCACUUAUAGAUGUAUCCGCGCCGCAUUAGCUAGUUGGUAAGGUAACGGCUUACCAAGGCAACGAUGCGUAGCCGACCUGAGAGGGUGAUCGGCCACACUGGAACUGAGACACGGUCCAGACUCCUACGGGAGGCAGCAGUAGGGAAUCUUCCGCAAAGGGCGAAAGCCUGACGGAGCAACGCCGCGUGAGUGAUGAAGGUCUUCGGAUCGUAAAACUCUGUUAUUAGGGAAGAACAAAUGUGUAAGUAACUAUGCACGUCUUGACGGUACCUAAUCAGAAAGCCACGGCUAACUACGUG